CAGCAGCCGCGGGAAUACGGAGGGAGCUAGCGUUGUUCGGAAUUACUGGGCGUAAAGCGCGCGUAGGCGGUUACUCAAGUCAGAGGUGAAAGCCUGGGGCUCAACCCCGGAACUGCCUUUGAAACUAGGUGACUAGAAUCUUGGAGAGGUCAGUGGUAUUCCGAGUGUAGAGGUGAAAUUCGUAGAUAUUCGGAAGAACACCAGUGGCGAAGGCGGCUUACUGGCUCAUUCUAGACGCUGAGGUGCGAAAGCGUGGGGAGCAAACAGGAUUAGAUACCCGGGUAGUCCCUGUCUCUUAUAC
rnacentral:rRNA from 1 species